rnacentral:rRNA from 1 species
AGUGAACGCUGGCGGUAGGCCUAACACAUGCCAGUCGAACGGCAGCACAGUAAGAGCUUGCUCUUACGGGUGGCGAGUGGCGGACGGGUGAGGAAUACAUCGGACUCUACUUUUUCGUGGGGGAUAACGAAGGGAAAUUUACGCUAAUACCGCAUACGACCUACGGGUGAAAGCAGGGGAUCUUUGGACCUUGCGCGAUUGAAUGAGCUGAUGUCGGAUUAGCUAGUUGGUGGGGUAAAGGCCCACCAAGGCGACGUUCCGUAGCUGGUCUGAGAGGAUGAUCAGCCACACUAGAACUGAGACACGGUCCAGACUCCUGCGGGAGGCAGCAGUGGGGAAUAUUGGACAAUGGGCGCAAACCUGAUCCAGCCAUACCGCGUGAGUGAGGGAGGCCUUCGGGUUGUAAAGCCCUUUUGUUGGGAAAGAAAAGCAGCAGGUUAAUACCCCGCUGUUCUGACGGUACCCAAAGAAUAAGCACCGGCUAACUUCGUG